rnacentral:rRNA from 1 species
CAUGCAGUCGAGGGGCAGCAUAAUGGUAGUAAUACUAUUGAUGGCGACCGGCGGACGGGUGCGUAACGCGUAUGCAACCUACCCUUUACAGGGGGAUAACACUGAGAAAUCGGUACUAAUACCCCAUAAUAUUCUGGGAGGCAUCUUUCGGAGUUGAAAGUUUUGGUGGUAAAGGAUGGGCAUGCGUUGUAUUAGCUAGUUGGUAAGGUAACGGCUUACCAAGGCGACGAUACAUAGGGGGACUGAGAGGUUAACCCCCCACAUUGGUACUGAGACACGGACCAAACUCCUACGGGAGGCAGCAGUGAGGAAUAUUGGUCAAUGGACGGAAGUCUGAACCAGCCAUGCCGCGUGCAGGAAGACGGCUCUAUGAGUUGUAAACUGCUUUUGUACGAGGGUAAACGCAGAUACGUGUAUCUGCCUGAAAGUAUCGUACGAAUAAGGAUCGGCUAACUCCGUGCCAGCAGCCGCGGUAAUACGGAGGAUCCAAGCGUUAUCCGGAUUUAUUGGGUUUAAAGGGUGCGUAGGCGGUUUAGUAAGUCAGCGGUGAAAUUUUGGUGCUUAACACCAAACGUGCCGUUGAUACUGCUGGGCUAGAGAGUAGUUGCGGUAGGCGGAAUGUAUGGUGUAGCGGUGAAAUGCUUAGAGAUCAUACAGAACACCGAUUGCGAAGGCAGCUUACCAAACUAUAUCUGACGUUGAGGCACGAAAGCGUGGGGAGCAAACAGGAUUAGAUACCCUGGUAGUCCACGCAGUAAACGAUGAUAGCUCGUUGUCGGCGAUACACAGUCGGUGACUAAGAGAAAUCGAUAAGCUAUCCACCUGGGGAGUACGUUCGCAAGAAUGAAACUCAAAGGAAUUGACGGGGG